rnacentral:rRNA from 1 species
UUUAUUGGAGAGUUUGAUCCUGGCUCAGGACGAACGCUGGCGGCAUGCCUAAUACAUGCAAGUCGAGCGGACUU